AUGAUGAUGAAUGGUGCCGAGAAAGUUAAGAGAGUUUUUCUGAUUUGUGAUGGUGAUUCUUCCACACGAUUGAAGAAUGAAGAACGAUGCAAAGUGAUUGCCCUUUUUAUAUUUCUGUUAUCAGUAGAAAUUGAAUGUCGGACCCUUGCUAAGACUGGCUUGCAUCUCUCUUUUUGGUUCAGCUUCAGCAUGAAGAAUGAAGAUGUAAAGUGGACCGAAAUGAGCAUGGAGAAGAUGCUUGAAGAAGAAGUCAACCCAAGAACUUAG